GACGAACGCUGGCGGCGCGCUUAACACAUGCAAGUCGAACGGAAAGGCCUGCUUUCCCUUGUGGAUUGCGGGUACUCGAGUGGCGAACGGGUGAGUAACACGUGAGUGAUCUGCCCCCAACUUGGGUAUAAGCCUGGGAAACUGGGUCUAAUUCCCGAUAGGACUGCAGGGUGGUGCCUGUGGUGGAAAACGAUUUUCUAGUGGUUGGGGAUGAGCUCGCGGCCUAUCAGCUUGUUGGUGGGGUAAUGGCCUACCAAGGCGGCGACGGGUAGCCGGCCUGAGAGGGUGGACGGCCACAUUGGGACCGAGAUACGGCCCAGACUCCGACGGGAGGCAGCAGUGGGGAAUAUUGCACAAUGGGCGGAAGCCUGAUGCAGCGACGCCGCGGGGGGGAUGACGGCCUUCGGGUGGUAAACUCCUUUCGACCGCGAGGAAGCCACCUGGUUGGAAGGGUGGUGACGGUAGUGGUAGAAGAAGCACCGGCUAACUACGUG
rnacentral:rRNA from 1 species